rnacentral:rRNA from 1 species
AGUCGUGGGGGAUAACGUAGCGAAAGUUACGCUAAUACCGCAUACGAUCUACGGAUGAAANCGGGGACUCGCAAGAGCCUCGCGCGAUUGGAGCGGCCGAUAUCAGAUUAGGUAGUUGGUGGGGUAAAGGCUCACCAAGCCAACGAUCUGUAGCUGGUCUGAGAGGACGACCAGCCACACUGGAACUGAGACACGGUCCAGACUCCUACGGGAGGCAGCAGUGGGGAAUUUUGGACAAUGGACGCAAGUCUGAUCCAGCCAUUCCGCGUGCAGGAUGAAGGCCCUCGGGUUGUAAACUGCUUUGUACGGAACGAAAAGGUUUCUAUUAAUACUAGGAGCUCAUGACGGUACCGUAAGAAUAAGCACCGGCUAACUACGUG